GACGAACGCUGGCGGCGUGCUUAACACAUGCAAGUCGAACGCUGAAGCUCAGCUUUUGUUGGGUGGAUGAGUGGCGAACGGGUGAGUAACACGUGAGUAACCUGCCCCCUUCUUUGGGAUAACGCCCGGAAACGGGUGCUAAUACUGGAUAUUCACUGGUCUUCGCAUGGGGGUUGGUGGAAAGGGUUUUUCUGGUGGGGGAUGGGCUCGCGGCCUAUCAGCUUGUUGGUGGGGUGAUGGCCUCCCAAGGCUUUGACGGGUAGCCGGCCUGAGAGGGUGACCGGUCACAUUGGGACUGAGAUACGGCCCAGACUCCUACGGGAGGCAGCAGUGGGGAAUAUUGCACAAUGGGCGCAAGCCUGAUGCAGCGACGCCGCGUGAGGGAUGGAGGCCUUCGGGUUGUGAACCUCUUUCGCUCAUGGUCAAGCCGCAACAAUGGUUGUGGUGAGGGUAGUGGGUAAAGAAGCGCCGGCUAACUACGUG
rnacentral:rRNA from 1 species